GCAGCUCAGUGGCUGAGCAUCGCUUUCCGUGCAGAAGGUCCCAGCUUCAAUCUCUGGCAUCUCCA